GUAACUUUGGGUGGGGAAAACCCAUCGCUGGGGAAAACCUGGUGCCUGUCCACUUGUUUCUUUGGGGCUGGCCCGAAGCAACCCCCUCUGCCGCCUGACGCAGGCAGCCUGUCCCCUCCACCCGCCCCUCCUCUCCCCCCAGAAGUGUUUAUUUCCCAAGCAAUGACCCACUAUACAAUCCAGGCCCCUUGGGACCUCUUGAUGCGUGGGAACCUGCUGCCUCCCACCAGCAGGCAGUGGAUGAGAUGGGCGGGCAGCCGGCCUGCCUGAUGCUGGGAGAAGAGGCGGGAGGAGGAGGAGACGGCAGCUUUGCUGCAGGCCCAGGGAGAGAGUAACUACGCAGCCCAGGAGCAGACACAGAGCCCCGGCCAAGGAAGGACAAGCUUAACUCAAGCCACCCGAAUCUUCUCGGGAGAGAUGGGGGGGGGAUGGAAACCGCCACCGGCAGAUGGUGCACAACCGGGGAACAGCUACACAACCCAGACAGGAGGAGGGAUGUUUUGCACUGGCCGCAUUUCAAGCCUUUCUGGGAGCGCCCCCAAAGCCCAGCUGGGAUCAGCAAUGGGGAGGGGAGGGAAGCAGUCCCUUUCCACGCGGAUGAGCCCACCUUCUGUCUUUCCUUCUGGAGGAAAGGAAGCGGGGUGGGGGUCAUCUCAAGACCGCUGAGCAAGCGGGCGACUGCGGGGACAUGCAGAGCCUCGGGUGGGCUUGCCUUGCCUUGCCUUCCUCUCUGCCUGCCACCCUCCAGGCGUUCCGCCCCGGGGCUUGGCUUCCGGCAGGCCCUCUGCCCAGUUCCCUGGCUGGUUCUCAAUCUCUGCAGGCCGCGAAGCCGCCUCCCCUAGUCAGGGACUGCACAGUGAGCUCUGCCACUUGUGCAGGACACAGAAGGAGCCUUCGGGGUGCGGAACGUUUUCUUCACACCAGAAGGGGGCGGCGGAGGUGGAGGAGUUCAAGUGCUUUGUGUGGGACAAAGGAAGGCGGAUGGAGACGGAUUCGAGGCCAGGAAGCAUCUAAUCCGCCUUCUGAAACCCGCACGGGCACUGAGAGAGACAAGGAGCAUGUCUCCCCUGCCCGCCAUGCCCCUCAAGAUCCUUUCAGCGGGAGAAAACGCAAGCGCUUUCAAGAAGGGAGGAGGAGAAGGGAGACUCACUGUUGGAGCAGUCCACGCCCCGCCAUCCUUCUUCGCACUGGCACAGGUCGGGCGCCACGCACCUCCCGUGCACACACUCGUGGGUGCAGUGGGCUGCAGUCAAGAGAGGAGGAAAAACAGAGUGGCUGAGGAGGCAGGCAGGCAGGUAACCUAUGCUUGUUUCAGGGAUGAAGCCGUCAACAAAGCUGCUUGCACGGAGAGCACCCUGUCCUCUGGCACCCUCAGGAAACCCAGGUGGGUGAACAGGGCUGCGGAAACCUACUAGUCUACCAGUCUGCGGCGAGUGAAAAAGGGUGCCUGGCGAGUAAUGUACCAACAUAGCUUGAGGAGCCAUCUGGACUCCGUAGCUUCUCUAUACCGACAAGGCUGAAGCUGGUCCCCCGUUCCUGACCUGACACAGAGCGGCGUGACUUGCCAGGAGAGGAAGAUGGCUACCGGCGACCUCAGGGCAGCGCAUCCCCAGUAACUGGGAGACUGCUUCCACUCCUCUGCUUCCCCCCUCCACAAUGGAAUUGGAGCGUUGCAAGAGCGUCACAAGUCAUCACAGAAACUUAUGACUCCAACUCAUUCAAAUAAUUUCAUCAAGGGUUAUCCUACGUUUGAUGUGUGUCUGACAAGCUAUGAAGGUUUAAUGCUACAAUAAAUCUGUUUGUCUUUUCAA